GUGAGUCUGUGGCAUUAGCCUGUGGAGAAUUGAGCUCCAAGCCCCUUCCUCUCUCUUCUCAGCCAUCUCAAAGACUACUUUUACUCCACCACAUGACCCCCACGCGUUGCCUAACGAAGCCAGGCUACCUUACCCUGGACCAAAGCCUCAGGUAUUUGGUCAAAGUGACAAAACCUAAUAUAAUGAUGGUGUCUUUUCAUUCCAUUGUAGCUGGAGUUUAUUGUUUUCAGAGGCGACCCACACAUUACAAAAUCUUUGAAGUCAGAGAACCUUGGGGAGAGUUUCAGAGCCUACUGCAGAACCCAGAGAAUGGAACGAGUAAAUGUUUAUGCAUAUGGACUUAGCGUUCACAGUACACCGUGAGCCUUUGAAUUCCCAGAAGAACACGCUAUCCCUGGAACUGAGAACCUGACUCAGGAGUGGCACGCUGUGGACAAGCAGUAAGUGCUCUCGGUGGACCAUCAAAGUGAUACCAGCUACUGCAGGGGCAUGCCUGUCUACCCAUGGUGGUGACACCUCAGGGGACACUAACCGGUCUAUGCCCUGUGGCUCCAGAGGAGGAAAACAGUGACACAGCAGAAGUCAGUGGGAAUCGAUGGGGCUCUGAAGCCUGGCUCCACAUGGUCGGCCUUCCGCUCUCUGCAGUGUGACUUUGAAGCAAGUUAUUCCAACUGAGUCUCACUUCUUCCUCUCCACAGGGAGACGUCAUUCCAACCUGACAGACUGUCAUGAGAAUUAAGUGAAGAAAUCUGGAGCAGUAGGUCCAGGACCCUGCACACACAUCUCGUUAGAAUUGUCAUGUGCAGGGUCUUGGAAAAUAGCCAAGUGUUCAUGGUUUUCUUCUUGGAUCCUCACCGUAAUCUCAGGAGGCAGGCAGGUCCGACCAGAAGAAUUAAAGUCAUUUAAGAUUAUGUGGAUGAUCAUCAUGGGGGCUGGAAUCCGUCUUGCAGGUGUGUGCUGGAGUGUAAACAGCUGGAGUGUAAACAGCUGGAGGCCUGAGCUUGGGUUGAAUUCCUAUCUUUGCUCUGCCAUGAGCUAGCCCUGUGCUCCUGUGCAGAUCCUGUCUGUGUGCAUCAUGGGUAUUUCCUGUCUUACAGGUCAGUUGUGAGGAGUGGAUGAGCUAGUGCUAAUUAGACAUCCAGCAGAGCAUCCAGUGGGUGCUCAAUAAACGUUCAUGCCCAGGCUCAUGCCACUUGCUGUCUUGCUGUUGGGCCGUGUGUUGGUGGUCAUUUCUGUGGGGCGUUAUACUCCAUCUGUGCCACACCCACUCCAGUAGAGUCUGUGUGACCUGAAGCUCUUGUGGUUCGUUUCUGUCCAGAACAGAGGCCUCCUGGAGUUCCUGGCCGUCUCCCUGCAAAAAGAUGACAACUAGGGUCUAUGCUUGCGGUGGAGGUGCCUUCUGUGUUCUAGCCUUGGUGAUCUUAGCAACUUUAAGCCUGUCAACAAUAUCUGAUUUUAAGAACAUAGCAGGGUGGGAAGAUGGUCAUGUACCUUUAGAUGUCUCAGGAACUGAAAGUUCGGAGAUGGAAACGUCUCACACCAUCAUGAUCCUGAUAAACUCAACGGCCGCGAUGAAUUCAACUGCUGUACCCAUUAGCUCCCAGCAAAUAGGAGAGAAAUUAAUUGCAGCUACUAACAAUAUGACUGUUCCAGAAAAGCCUUUCCCCCGUUUUGGAAAAGUUUUGUUUAGCAUGAUUCAAAACAGUAAUGAUUCUUUUAAAAAGAUCAUAGACAAGUUCCAACAAGUUGAACAAAUUUAUCAAGAGUUAACCCUGUUUCCACUGAGAGUGGAAGUGAUGGCCCUUGUACCAGCUAUCAGUCAGGGAAGAAAGCAAAGGGGUCAUCUCUGUGCCUGCACCAAAUCUGCUAGAGAGGGGUGUGUGUGUGUGUGUGUGUGUGUGUGUGUGUGUGUGUGUGUGAGAGAGAGAGAGAGAGAGACAGACAGACAGACAGACAGAGACAGAGAACGUGUACAUGUGCAUAGGUGUGUAUGGUGUAGUUUCAUAGUUUUCCAAACCUGGCUUUUUCUGUCUACAUCAUUUUCUAAGAUAUUUCGGUUGUUCAGUGUGUGUCCCUGUGGUCAUCACUAUUGACUUUUUUGACUUAAUCCUGCUGUUGGUUUUGACAGAUCUUUUAAUACCAUUAUAGCUGCAUUUCCUCUUACAGAUGUUUAUUAUGGGCCAGGUGCACAUGACUUUUGUUUUGUGGCUGUUGAAUUUUUGCGUUUCAGACCUGCAGUUAUCAAAUGAGCUGUUCUCCAUCUCUCCUGACUACCUUUUCAGGAGAGAGGGAAUUAGUAGAGAAAGAGCAUAUGGUGGGAAUAAGGUGGUCUUUCUUUUUUAAAAUAAAUUUUAAUGUAUUGUU
ensembl:lncRNA